rnacentral:rRNA from 1 species
GCUGAGGAAAAGAAACCAACCGGGAUUGCCUCAGUAACGGCGAGUGAAGCGGCAAGAGCUCAAAUUUGAAAUCUGGCCCCUUUGGGGUCCGACCUCCUCACUCUGCAGAGGAUGCUUCGGGUGCGGUCCCCGUCUAAGUGCCCUGGAACGGGCCGUCAUAGAGGGUGAGAAUCCCGUCUGGGAUGGGCGGCCGCGCCCGUGUGAAGCUCCUUCGACGAGUCGAGUUGUUUGGGAAUGCAGCUCUAAGCGGGUGGUAAAUUUCAUCUAAAGCUAAAUACUGGCCGGAGACCGAUAGCGCACAAGUAGAGUGAUCGAAAGAUGAAAAGCACUUUGAAAAGCGAGUUAAACAGCACGUGAAAUUGUUGAAAGGGAAGCGUUGUCCACCAGACUCGCCGGGGGGGUUCAGCCGGCACGUGUGCCGGUGUACUCCUCUCCGGGCGGGCCAGCAUCGGUUUGGGCGGCUGGUGAAAGGCCCCGGGAAUGUGCCACCCUUCGGGGGGCCCUUAUAGCCCGGGGUGCCAUACAGCCAGCCUGGACCGAG